GACAGCCUGGUCUAGUGGUUUGAGUGUUGGAUGAUGACUCUGGAGACCAGGGUUCGAAUCUCUGCUCAGCCA